AGUUGACGAGUCUCAAAUAGGACGAAACGCGCGUCCUGGAU
rnacentral:hammerhead_ribozyme from 1 species